UUCCAUAAACUGUUUUCACGUUCGUAUCCAUUUUUCUUCUCAAUCAGCUGCGGCCGUUUCAAAAUUCCGUAUCAGUCAAUAAUACUAUCAAUCUGAGAGGUGUUACUAUUGAGUAAUCAAUGCAAUCUUAAAUUUUAUUUACGCAGCAUGAUUAAAAUAAACUCUUUUCCCUUUUCUUUCUUUUGUCAGCAUAGGGUUUUCCCGUCAUGGUCGACAAAUUCAGGUCUUGAGAUUUUGAUUAAAAGUUUGGUUCUCUCUCAACAGAUUGCAAUUGGUUAUUAACCUAAACGGAGUUCAAGGGUGUGGUCAAGCAAUCAGAUAUAGAGGUAUUCGCAGCCGUAGUUGGUAACUGGGAUACACACGCAGUGGUCGAGUAGUACGUUUGUUGGAAGCCAUUGCAGAUUGCAGGAAGCUAUGCACGACAAGUUGCAGGGAGAGAUGGUAGGAAAAAAAUUGAAGGGCAUUGAGUGAUUUUGUUCUGAUGCAUUUAUUUGAAUAUAUUGUAAUUGGAGAAUAAACAGUGGAUUCACAAAUUUCAUUUCGAUAAGAAAGAAUCACUAAUGGAUUAGGAGUCUGAAUUGUCUAUCUGUGAAAGUUUUAGAAUGAAAUCAGGAGUCCCAGACCAUGUGAAAACAAACUACAUCACUCUUUAUAUACUUUGCUAGACUGUCAGCGACACUAUUUGCGUCUAUUUUAGUGAAUGACUAGCUACUAAAAUUUCUUAA